rnacentral:tRNA from 1 species
GGGGUUGUGGCCCAGCGGUGGAGUGCUCACCUAGCAGGAGUGAGGCCCUGGGUUCAAUCCUCAGCACCACA